AUCAUUCUAACUACACACAUUGAACACAGCUAUAAGAUAAUUUUUGCCACGUGUUCUUCUCACAGAGCUGCAGAGCGAAAUUGAGCUGGACAAACAGACAAAAAACAUACUGCUUUUGGCCAAAUUUUGAAAUGUUAUUCCCUCCUUCAGUUUCUUUACGAAAUGGGCCAACAAAUGACAGUCCAAUGCUAUCCGGCCCAGCAAAGCCCAGUCCGUCUGGAGGAAAAGCUUUGAGGCCAAACAAAAAACAGCUGUCCUGGAGACAGUAUGUUGACCCGUCCUUUUCUUUAAUCAGGUUGGUUUACUUCUUUUGACUAAGACAUUAUUUUCUUUUCUUUUACACCUUCCCAAAAACACCAUUUUGGUGAAAAACUCUACAUCAGACACAGUUUUUUUUUGGAAUCAAUUUCAAAUUUCAAAUUCAUGGGUUUCAUUUCAGUUAUUCCCUCUUCAGAUCUCUCGC
rnacentral:lncRNA from 1 species